rnacentral:rRNA from 1 species
UACGUAGGGUGCGAGCGUUAAUCGGAAUUACUGGGCGUAAAGCGUGCGCAGGCGGUUCGUUGUGUCGGCGGUGAAAGCCCCGGGCUUAACCUGGGAAUGGCCGUUGAAACUGGCGAACUGGAGUGUGGCAGAGGGGGGUGGAAUUCCACGUGUAGCAGUGAAAUGCGUAGAGAUGUGGAGGAAUACCGAUGGCGAAGGCAGCCCCCUGGGUCAAUACUGACGCUCAUGCACGAAAGCGUGGGGAGCAAACAGG